CCGGCACGGUGAGUAACGCGUAUCCAACCUGCCGUCUACUCUUGGACAGCCUUCUGAAAGGAAAGAUUAAUACAAGAUGGCAUCAUGAGUCCGCAUGUUCACAUGAUUAAAGGUAUUCCGGUAGACGAUGGGGAUGCGUUCCAUUAGAUAGUAGGCGGGGUAACGGCCCACCUAGUCUUCGAUGGAUAGGGGUUCUGAGAGGAAGGUCCCCCACAUUGGAACUGAGACACGGUCCAA
rnacentral:rRNA from 1 species